rnacentral:rRNA from 1 species
AUUGAACGCUGGCGGCAGGCCUAACACAUGCAAGUCGAGCGGAGCGGCGGACGGGUGAGUAAGGCCUAGGAAUCUGCCUGGUAGUGGGGGAUAACGUCCGGAAACGGGCGCUAAUACCGCAUACUAUCAGAUGAGCCUAGGUCGGAUUAGCUAGUUGGUGGGGUAAAGGCCUACCAAGACGACGAUCCGUAACUGGUUGGAGAGGAUGAUCAGUCACACUGGAACUGAGACACGGUCCAUACUCCUACGGGAGGCAGACGUGUGGAAUAUUAGACACUGUGCGAAAUCCUGAUCCAGCCAUGCCGCGUAGGUGAAGAAGGUCUUCGUAUUUUAAAGCACUUUAAGUUGGGAGGCGUUACCAACAGAAUAAGCACCGGCUAACUUCGUGCCAGCAGCCGCGGUAAUAC